UCCAUUUCCUCUUCAACAAUAUAAGGUAUUCCCAAUGCAAUUACUCCCAUUCGAGAGUAAAUUCUUGGCGACUUUACAUAAGUAAAACGCUGAUUCUCUCUAUAAAAUAUCUCAUCCCAUUCGAGAACAACAUCCGAUCCACCUGUUGAACAUACAGCGCCCCGACUGCAAGGAGAGGAGUUUGGCUAUCAGCAUUUCGUGCCUCUUAUAUCUUACAAAUUGAAUUGCCAAUUUUCCAGCAGAUUCGUUUACAUGCUAAUGGGUAGAUAUAUUGGAUAUCAGCAUAGUCCUUCAUGUUAGAAAAUUUAAUUCAUUAGAAAUGUGUUCUCUGCUGCUCCUGCUUGAAGCCUUGAACCCAUUCUAUGCCUCUGUAGCAUAUGGUUAUCAACUUAUCAUGUAUGCCCAUUCCAUGAUUGAGAAUAUAUAACCCGUCGUUCUUUGUUAAUGAUUUGAUGGAAGACAAAAUAAAACUCAAUAGGCUUUGAACAAGGUGGUGGCAGAAUCUUGGAGUUGUGACUGAAAGGAACUUUGCUAGAGACAACCCGGAUUGGAUCUUUUUAUGCAGCUUGGGGAUUUUUGUAUUAGUACCGAACUAUAACGAUGCAGAGAAUGGCUUUAAAUACUCGCGGUAUAUUGUUCAUAGUUCGUUAGAAGAACUUGAUGUCAGUAAAGGUAAUUAUUGAUAACCUGGGUAAUUAUAAAAAGUCUUAAUAGCUAAGCCAGUAAAAGGUACGUUUUGGAGGACUGAAAGUAGUUGUUUAGUCAACUUAUAACUCAAAUUUGAACUAGGUUAUUCAUGUGCCUAAAUGUAAUUUCAGUUUACAUUAUAGGCGGAAUACAAAGUUUAGAAAGCUAUCGUAUUAUAUGAAGAUAUGUUUAUUACCAGUUUACAAUACAACUAAUUAAUGAAAUUUUUACCUUUAGAUAUUAAUUUGGUUGCUUUAUAGAUUUUUUUCUUUUAGCUUUUACCUGAGGCGGUAUAUUGCAAAUGAAGUCAAUCAUUUCUAAUGAGUCUAUACGUAAUGGAGAUCUGGAAAUGUAUUACAUGUGCUUACUUAAAUUCAAGGUUUGUGUGAGAAUCCGUCAUUGAUCCUGUAUGUCUGCCAUCCUGGUGGAAUAGCUGAAUAUUUGGAUCAUGUUAUAUAUGGUGUUCUUUCAUUAAAGGUGUGAUUGCAGGCUUAUACUGUUUGACAGUUUUAACUAUACUUGCCAUCAUUCCACCCGUGGUCCUGCUCUAACUCGCGCCACAACAUUUGCGCUAGAGGUGGCUUCUUUCCGUAUUAUCUACAGUUCCACGUAUACUAAUAAGUUGCCUAUGAGAAAAUAAUUCAUUCACUUGCAUACUCUGCGACAACUGCCACAUGAUGUGCACGGUGAGAAGGGAAUGACUAGGUCGCGGUAGGUAGUUGUGUGUCCAAUAUUUGUAGUUGUGCAUCUAAUCUUUUUUGCAACUUUAUAAUCUUUUCUUUUUAGUUGUGAGUUUUUUUCUUUUUCCAUUGUUUAUAUAUGUUUCUUACUUUUAAUAAAUGGUCCUCUUUUGUAUGUUUUCAUUUCUUUCAAGCACUAAGUUUCAAUUGUGGUGUUCUUUGUCUCCUGGAGUAGAAUUGAACAAGCUAAAGGUAUAUUGUACUAUUGUUGUUUGUGAUAUAAAUAUGCUAAUCCUAUAACACAUUUGUAUUGCACUUCAUGCAGACCUGGGUAAUUGGUACGCAGAAGAGGUUUUCACUGAGUCAUCUUUAUGCUGUUAUGAGCAUGGGUGGUUGAUGAUGGCGGCGAUGGGGAGGUUAAGAGAGUAAGAUCCAUUUCAAAUUUAAAAUCAAAGUUGAUGGCAGCGGCAUGCAAUAUUAGUUUGCAAACACAAGACUGAAGACCUAUUGUGGUGUUCUUUGUUGUCCGUUAGAGUACUGUUAAUUGUGGUGUUCUUUGUUGCAUGGGGUAGAAUUGACCAAGCAAAGAUAUGUUGGUCCUUUAGAGAACUAUUUGUUGUUUGUAUACCCUAGACAGAACUCUUCCUCCAUCAAAUCUCUCAUCAGUGGAGUGGGGGCGAUCAAUAAGCACAUUAAUGGGUUUCCGCCUGAUUUGAGCUGCCAGUAAUGGAACAAUAAGCACAUUAAUGGGUUUGAUCAAUUUUUCUCAUGAGGUUUAUGUAUUACUCUUGUUUCAAAAGCGUAGAUGGCCUGCAUCGUUUUACUGAUCAUGUUUCGAUGUAGCUUUUAAUCUAGAAGAUGUAAAUAUGAACGUCAUAAAGUGAGACGAUUUCGCUGUCAACUUCUAUCGAUUGUUGAAGUAAUACUGCAUUUUUUGUGA